ensembl:lncRNA
GGCCGAGACGCGUUCGUUCCUUUUCAAACUCCCCGACGGUAAAUGCCGCUAUGGAGCGCAUCUGUAACCCUAUUCGCUGCAUAGACAUCCUAUUUACUCCAAAGUCUCGAAGUAAUAGCGAGAGACAGCAGAAGAGUUACAAAGAGACACAACUGCGGGAGAAACUCGCGAAGAGAAUCCAUCGCUGAAGAAAAUCUUCAUCUCCAAUCUGAGCAGAGACUAGGCCAAAGAAAAGGACUCACUCUGAAGACUUUUCCAAACAGCACUUUGAACAGGUUUCCCCAUCUCCUCCCAAACCAUGGGCCAGAGGAGCAUGACCACCUGGGUGAGGAGUUUCUGAAUUAUCAGACCAUGCCAACAACCUCCCUUCAGGACGAAACGGAGAUGGAAAGCUUCUGGGCUGGAAUGGCAACACGGAAACGUAAGGUAUACUUUUUUUGUCUUUCUUUUUGGCAGGUGUGGCUUGGCUACAUCUGUUGCUAUUAUUGAUGCAUGCAUAUAUUGUGUCAUACAUGAUGCAAACUAUGCAUGUUGUAUCUGAACUUUGUUACAGUAUACUUACAGUAUUAAUCAAAACAACAUUUUGUUCUUUGUUCAUUUUCAAAGAGUGGCAGGAGUCAAAGAAUUUGAGAGGCUUGCUGCUGUCGCCAAGCUGGUCCUGGUGUUGCCCCAUUCGAAUGCAGAUGCUGAGAGGGUGUUUUCAGUUGUGGGACUGAACAAAACUAAGACCAGAAAUAGCCUGGCAUUGGAUGGCACCCUGUCUUCAAUAAUGGCCAUAAAGAUGGCUGACCUGGAGCCCUGUUUCAGAUGGGAGCCCCCCUCAGAGGUCAUCAAGGCCUCCAAGAAGGCCACAGACCAGUACAACCUUGCCCACAGAUCUUAGAAAAUGACUAACCAGGUUCUGAUCUGCAUCUGAUACCUAAUUUUUAGUUAUUUUUGACAUGUGUUGACUCCAUUUUAUCGCUUAAAAAAGCUACUGUUUAUGCACUUUAUUUGUUGCACUUUUUUGUUUGAUGGAACAUGUGGUGGGAGGCUUUGAAUAAUGAAAAAUAUUUCUCCCUAACUAAACUUGUGUAAUUUUUUGCUGGACAUAAAUCAUUAAGUGCUCCUAAAUUAAGUGCUCAUAAAUCAUUAAAUACAAUUAUUAACAAUAUAGGUUAGGUUUCAGUUAAGAAUUAGUUGAAUACCAUUGUAAUCAAAAUGUCAAUCAACCUACCUUGGUCAAAUCUUAAACACAGGUCUAUUAAUUAGGCUAUAUUGUGGUACAUAGACAGUCAUUGAGGCACAAUAAUAGUUUUCUGGUUGAAUGUUCAGCUCAAGUCUAUAAGGCCCUACAAGUCAUGAUCAGAUGAACAUGAAUCAAAAUAAGUUCAGGUAUUGCACAUCUUUAGCAUACCACCCAAAAAUCCACUAGAAUGCAGGAAAUAACAUCUACUUAAACCAAAAUGUCCUGGGGGUGGACCUUCAGCUAUGUCUUUGCUUCACAG